rnacentral:rRNA from 1 species
UGAGGAAUAUUGGACAAUGGGCGCAAGCCUGAUCCAGCCAUGCCGCGUGUAGGAAGAAGCAUCUAUGGUGUGUAAACUGCUCUUGUACGGGAAGAAACACUCCUUCGUGAAGGAGCUUGACGGUACCGUAAGAAUAAGGAUCGGCUAACUCCGUGCCAGCAGCCGCGGUAAUACGGAGGAUCCAAGCGUUAUCCGGAAUCAUUGGGUUUAAAGGGUCCGUAGGCGGUUUAGUAAGUCAGUGGUGAAAGCCCAUCGCUCAACGAUGGAACGGCCAUUGAUACUGCUAGACUUGAAUUAUUAGGAAGUAACUAGAAUAUGUAGUGUAGCGGUGAAAUGCUUAGAUAUUACAUGGAAUACCGAUUGCGAAGGCAGGUUACCACCAAUGGAUUGACGCUGAUGGACGAAAGCGUGGGUAGCGAACA